rnacentral:lncRNA from 1 species
AUCAUUAAUGAGCUGAAAAACCAAAACAAAUAAUUAAAUAAGUGCGUGCGUCUAAAAGUUUCGGAACAAAUUGUGGAUUAAAGCCUUUCGAAAGUGAUAAAUAACGUAAAAAGGAAGAUGCCGAAAAGGUGUGUAUCCAGAUGUCCAGAACAAGGAUCCUUGUAUAAGUUUCCAUCGGAGGGAGAAAUGCCAAGCCAUCGACUGACUAACUGAUUGGAUAUGUAAAGUGAUCAACGUGAAAUUUGACGGAACAUGGAAUUCGUGGAUUUAUUAAGAAUUACAUUAUUACUUCCUUAUAUAUUUUGUAAAUUGUGAAAGUAUUUUCGUAUCUUUAGGAAUAAUCGAUCAAAAUGGUUGUAUUUUCUGUAAUUUUUUCUCUGGUUAGUUAAUAAUAAAAACCAUUGAAAUUCUUAAAUAA